UGAGCAAUCUGCCCUUCUCUUCGGAAUAAGCGUUGGAAACGACGUCUAAUGCCGAAUACGACCUCCUUUCGCAUGAUCGGAGGUGGAAAGCUCCGGCGGAGAAGGAUGAGCUCGCGGCCUAUCAGCUAGUUGGUGAGGUAACGGCUCACCAAGGCAACGAUGCGUAGCCGACC
rnacentral:rRNA from 1 species